rnacentral:rRNA from 1 species
CAGGCCUAACACAUGCAAGUCGAGCGGUAGAGAGAAGCUUGCUUCUCUUGAGAGCBGCGGACGGGUGAGUAAUGCCUAGGAAUCUGCCUGGUAGUGGGGGAUAACGUUCGGAAACGGACGCUAAUACCGCAUACGUCCUACGGGAGAAAGCAGGGGACCUUCGGGCCUUGCGCUAUCAGAUGAGCCUAGGUCGGAUUAGCUAGUUGGUGGGGUAAUGGCUCACCAAGGCGACGAUCCGUAACUGGCCUGAGAGGAUGAUCAGUCACACUGGAACUGAGACACGGUCCAGACUCCUACGGGAGGCAGCAGUGGGGAAUAUUGGACAAUGGGCGAAAGCUGAUCCAGCCAUGCCGCGUGUGUGAAGAAGGUCUUCGGAUUGUAAAGCACUUUAAGUUGGGAGGAAGGGUUGUAGAUUAAUACUCUGCAAUUUUGACGUUACCGACAGAAUAAGCACCGGCUAACUCUGUGCCAGCAGCCGCGGUAAUACAGAGGGUGCAAGCGUUAAUCGGAAUUACUGGGCGUAAAGCGCGCGUAGGUGGUUAGUUAAGUUGGAUGUGAAAUCCCCGGGCUCAACCUGGGAACUGCAUUCAAAACUGACUGACUAGAGUAUGGUAGAGGGUGGUGGAAUUUCCUGUGUAGCGGUGAAAUGCGUAGAUAUAGGAAGGAACACCAGUGGCGAAGGCGACCACCUGGACUGAUACUGACACUGAGGUGCGAAACGUUGGGGAGCAAACAGGAUUAGAUACCCUGGUAGUCCACGCCGUAAACGAUGUCAACUAGCCG